rnacentral:rRNA from 1 species
UACGUAGGGGCAAGCGUUAUCCGGAAUUAUUGGGCGUAAAGAGUGCGUAGGUGGUUACCUAAGCGCAAGGUUUAAUCUUGAGGCUCAACCUCAUUCUGCCUUGCGAACUGGGCUACUUGAGUGCAGGAGGGGAAAGCGGAAUUCCUAGUGUAGCGGUGAAAUGCGUAGAUAUUAGGAAGAACACCGGUGGCGAAGGCGGCUUUCUGGACUGUAACUGACACUGAGGCACGAAAGCGUGGGGAGCAAACAGGAUUAGAUACCCGGGUAGUCCCUGAGCGGG